rnacentral:rRNA from 1 species
AGGGCACCACCAGGAGUGGAGCCUGCGGCUUAAUUUGACUCAACACGGGAAACCUCACCAGGCCCAGACACUGGAAGGAUUGACAGAUUGAGAGCUCUUUCUUGAUUCAGUGGGUGGUGGUGCAUGGCCGUUCUUAGUUGGUGGAGCGAUUUGUCUGGUUAAUUCCGAUAACGAACGAGACUCUAGCCUACUAAAUAGACGUUACACUUUCCAGUAUCUCGAAGGCUCACAUCUCUUGUUUCUUUACUUCACAUCUACAAGCAUUUCGGUGUUUGUUUGAUGUGUUGGGGGGCAGGAGUUUGUGGCUCUACCCUGAGCGAAAUAGAGAGCUCUUCUUUUUUUCGGGAGAAACGGAUAACCCAAGCAAAUUUUUUCGUGCUUGGGACUGGGAAGUGCAAUUAUUUCCCUUGCACGAGGAUUCCCAGUACAUGUGGGUCAUCAGCUCGAGAUGAUACGAGCUGCCCUUAGUACCCUCCGACCGACGCUCCACCGAUUGUGAUGAAUUGAGAGGUCUUAGAA